UACGUAGGGUGCGAGCGUCGUCCGGAAUUAUUGGGCGUAAAGAGCUCGUAGGCGGUUUGUCGCGUCGACUGUGAAAACCCGAGGCUUAACCUCGGGCCUGCAGUCGAUACGGGCAGACUAGAGUUCGGUAGGGGAGACUGGAAUUCCUGGUGUAGCGGUGAAAUGCGCAGAUAUCAGGAGGAACACCGGUGGCGAAGGCGGGUCUCUGGGCCGAUACUGACGCUGAGGAGCGAAAGCGUGGGGAGCGAACAGG
rnacentral:rRNA from 1 species